CUUUGGCUCACCAGUACUUCAUCAUUGGCCCUCUUAGCCGCCCGGCGGGCCUACCCAGCAGGGAUCUCUCACCCCAGGAACCUGGAAAAUUGGGUAAUGAGGUAGCGGCAGAAGCGGUGCAGUGAAAGUUAAUCUGGGACGUUGGCUUUUUUUAUGUAACCACGUGACGGGCCGCGGCGCUUCGGUGAUCCUUGCCGGCCCAACUUGGGAAAUGUAACUGAGAGGGGAGCUUUGCCGCCGCCCCUAGAAGGCUCAGCCAGCCGGCGGAAGGGGACCUGGGCGGGCCAUCGCGGGCCUGCUCAUUUUACAGCUGGGGAGAGAGGCUGUGAGAGCCCCGCGGCCGGUACAGGACCACGCAGCCAGUGGGUGACAGAGCCACCCAGGGCUCCUGACUCCAGGUCCUGUGUGUUGCCUGGAAAUAGCACUGGACUUGGAGUCAGAAGGCCUGCGUGGAGUCGCCUUCGCCGCUCUCUGGCUGGGUGACCCCGGAGCGAGCCCUUUGGACUCUCCCAGCCUCCCUUCCGCCAUCUGUCAAAUGGGGCUGGUGGCGCCCGCAGUCGGAGCCCUUGGCCGCUGGGGAAUUGUUAGAGAAUACUGGCCAGCGUCAAGGACAGAAUGGAAAACACGUGAUCUUACCCGGACGGAACCGCUGCUGCUUUUCAUGUACACUUUCUUCGCCUAUUGAGUCCUUUCGAUUGUGUCUUUUGUACAAAGAUGGAGCCGUCCUUUAUCUACUAAUUGUAACGUGGAAUCACACUGUUUUUUAAACUUGCCUUUUUUCCCUUCGAAGGAUAUGCUGUGGCUAUCUUUCUGUAUCAAUAAUUCUUCUACUUAGUAUCUUAACAGUUACAUAGUAUCAUGGAUUGAACCAAAAUGCAUUUAAUUCAUCCUUUACUGGUAGUCAUUUAAGUAGUUUCUCUCUCUUUUUUUGCUGUUGUGAGCCACACGGAAAUGACUGUCUUUGUAUAUAUCUGAGUUCCUAGAAAUGAGAUUACUCUGUCAAGGAGCUAUGCAGGCAUUUGGUCAGCAGCCUUUCUGGAGGGUGCCUUCCAGAAAGACGGAGCUCAUUUGCACUCGGAGUGUGGGCUGGGUGGGAAUGCCUGGUGCCCAUACUCGAUGACUCUCUGCAAGUGGUUUUUCAUUUUUACGUGUGUUUAUCAAUAAACGGUGUCCCGCUGA